rnacentral:lncRNA from 1 species
UAUUAUUUUAUAUUGCUUUCUCCCUUUUGUUUUUGUUUUUUAUUUUUAGUUUUUGUCCCAACAGCCUCUCGCAUGGAGUCGACGACGAGAAUGUAUGUCUCACUCCCACAGUGCGCGAAUAAUAUUGGAACCAUGUGUUGUUUCGUACACAAAAUACAUACAUCUCUCCCUAAUAAUAAAGCGCCGACCGAUUCUGUCGUCCGUUGUGCCACUUUUAUAAAAAAU